CCUACGGGGCGCAGCAGUGGGGAAUAUUGGGCAAUGGAGGCAACUCUGACCCAGCAACGCCGCGUGAGUGAUGAAGGUCUUCGGAUUGUAAAACUCUUUAAGUGGGGACGAAGAAAGUGACUGUACCCACAGAAUAAGCCUCGGCUAACUACGUGCCAGCAGCCGCGGUAAUACGUAGGUGGCAAGCGUUAUCCGGAUUUACUGGGUGUAAAGGGCGUGUAGGCGGGAGUGCAAGUCAGAUGUGAAAACUAUGGGCUCAACCCAUAGCCUGCAUUUGAAACUGUACUUCUUGAGUGCUGGAGAGG
rnacentral:rRNA from 1 species